rnacentral:rRNA from 1 species
UGCGUGAAGUCGGAAUCGCUAGUAAUCGCGGAUCAGCAUGCCGCGGUGAAUACGUUCCCGGGCCUUGUACACACCGCCCGUCACACCAUGAGAGUUGGGAAUACCCGAAGCCUGUGAGCUAACGUAUGAGGCAGCAGUCGAAGGUAGAAUCAAUGAUUGGGUGAAGUCGUAACAAGGUAUC